rnacentral:lncRNA from 1 species
CCGGAACAGCCUACCAUGCAGAGCUAGCUGGGAGAGCGGGGGCUGCCAGGCCGUGUCCCCCACGCGUCCCUGCCUCCCGCUUGACUCGCCGCAAGUGGAGAAGGACCGGACCUCGCGAAUUCAGCACGCAUUGGUUCAACCCCUAAAAUGUGCCUAGACCCCUAACUGUGUACAAGCCUGAACCAGAGCGACCCUGACUUCCUGGAGCUGACUCUGAGUGGGAGAAACCAUCCGCAAACUCAAACCCCAGGUCAUUUCAGACAGUGUCAAGGGCGAUGGAGAAGAUGAACCAGGUGAAGAGAAGGUGAGGGCAGAGAUUACUGCUUUUACAUACAUAGCCAGAAAGUGACAGGUGGGACUUGAGUGAGGAGCAGCAGUGAGUCUUGUUAAGGUCUAAGAAAGAGCAACUCAGCAACACAAGUGCAGGGGCCUUGACAGGGGACCACCCGACAUGCCAUGCGUUGGAGAAGUGCAAAAAACGGAGCCCAGGCCCAGCGAGGUGGCCCACGCCUGUAAUCCCAGCCAGGAGGGUAGACAGGUGGAUCAUGAGUUCAAAGCCAGCCUUAGCAAUUUAUCGAGGCCCUAAGCAACUGAGACCCUGUCUCUAAAUAAAAUACAAAAUAUCAGGGGAUAUGGACCCCGAGUUCAAUCCCCAGUACCAAAAAAAGGGGGGGGGUGGAAUGGAACAAGGGGAAAAUGGUGGGGAGUGAAGUGAGAGAAGUGGGCAGAGCCAGAGCAGGGAGGCCGGUGCUCAGAACUGGGUGACUUUUCUUCUGCUUCUGUUGGUUCCUCAUCCGUGGAGAACCGACUACAGGCUAGUAAGGAUUUUGCAAAUGUGUUUAUUCCACAGAUAUCAGGGAACUGGACACUGGGGAUGCAGGAAGGAAUGAGAGGACAUUGGCUUGGAAGGGUCAAAUGUGUGUAGUUCAACCAGAUCCAUGUUAGCAAAAGCCCAAGGAAAUGCCCAGCUUGUAUACCUGUAAUCCCGGUGGCUCCAGAGGCUGAGAGAAU